AGACUGUGGGUGAUUGUCUCCCAUGCUUGGAUGCUCAGUCUCAGGCCUUGGUAUUUGGCAGAAUUCACUGAUUUUUCAGAAUGUUGGAAAGUGCCCACAACUGGUGCUAACUUAUUUUUUGUCACUUCAAAGCACCUAGGGACAGUCCUUUGCUUUUCAUAGAAGGCUGAGCUUAGGAAUGCUUUGCUUCAUUCUAGGUCAAGCUGUCUGCAGAUACAGACCUUUUCCUCUGUUGCCUUAUUGCCAGUUAUAUUAAAUAGAGUAUAUGACAAGAGUUUAUUAAUACUGUACUGUAGUCAACUUCUGUUAGUGACAGUGAAAGUCGUCCUACACAAUAACCCUCCUCUCUGUCGUCUCCCUCACACCAACCACGAAGGUUUUCAAAGGGCUUUAUUUUUGGACUUGAGUGCGGUAAUUGAAGAUUUCUGCUUCUGGCUAUGAUGGAUUAGUUUGCAGCUGACCAAACUGAAAGCCAAGAACACAAGAAAUGGUAAAUACAAUGAGAACACAUUUUUGAAGUUACCAGAGAGUUAUCAAGGCAGUUAGAACGCGUACAGCCAAGAACCUGGAGAGAAGGAAAACACAUUGGAGGACAAGCGAGGACCUAAAUAAGACACGUACCUGGUGCGUUUUAUGAAAUGCCACAAACGUGACUCAGAACCAAAGCGGAUCGAUCGCCUUACGUGUGUGCAGAUGGCAGUGGAAUUCUAGUCAUGAACCUUCUGGCCUCCUUGGGAAAGAGCCUGAGCUGGCCCGCUGGGGUAUGAGAGGGAGAAGCGUAGCCAGACCACCCGUGGGAGGAGAGAUGCCUCGCUGACCCAUAGGUGCUCUACACAGAAGAGAGAGGCCAUCUGAGACCAGAGAGCUGCCCAGCUGGCCUGUAGACUAGGUAAGCAGUAACAAAGUAUUCUUGUUUUAUGUUUUUUAAUAUUUAUUUAU